ACCACGACCCCAGGUCAGGCGGGGCCACCCGCUGAGUUUAAGCAUA
rnacentral:rRNA from 1 species